rnacentral:rRNA from 1 species
GUACUCCUACGGGGGGCAGCAGUGAGGAAUAUUGGUCAAUGGGCUUACGCCUGAACCAGCCACGUCGCGUGAGGGAAGACUGCCCUAUGGGUUGUAAACCUCUUUUGUCAGGGAGCAACGCCGGCUACGUGUAGCCGGACUGAGAGUACCUGAAGAAAAAGCAUCGGCUAACUCCGUGCCAGCAGCCGCGGUAAUACGGAGGAUGCGAGCGUUAUCCGGAUUUAUUGGGUUUAAAGGGUGCGUAGGCGGAAUGCCAAGUCAGCGGUAAAAUGCGUAGAUAUUAGGAGGAACA